rnacentral:lncRNA from 1 species
AACCCUUUCUUGUGGUCGUUCUUUCUGCAUCUCUUGUCCCCAUUCCCUAUCCCUGACUCUCUUGCCCCAGGUUGAUGUCCUGCAGGUUGGGACAACUGGUACCCAAUGUGGGGCUGGAUAGAGUUGGGAAUCUGGGAACUUCAGUGCUCAUUAGAGGGACGAGCCCGUCCAUGCAGUGAGGUGUCCACGACAAGGUCGAUUGUGAGCCUCAGUUGGAAGAAGACCCAGCGCUUGGGACUUUCGAUUCAUGAGCACCACCUAUGUGGAAAAGCUGCAAAUAGAGAUGGGCAACUGGUAUGGGAGUGUGACCACCUACUGCGCUCAAAUGAUCACAGUCACUUACCUGUUUAACAAUGGGACAAAAACGAGGGUUUCUCUGAGUACCUUUGGAGCCUAUCCUGGCACUCGAUCUGGAGACCAUGCUGGCCUCGAACUCACAGAGAUCCGCCUGCCUCUGCC